rnacentral:rRNA from 1 species
UACAGAGGGUGCGAGCGUUGUUCGGAUUCACUGGGCGUAAAGGGUGCGUAGGCGGCGCGGUAAGUCGGGUGUGAAAUCUCGGAGCUUAACUCCGAAACUGCAUUCGAUACUGCCGUGCUUGAGGACUGGAGAGGAGACUGGAAUUUACGGUGUAGCGGUGAAAUGCGUAGAUAUCGUAAGGAAGACCAGUGGCGAAGGCGGGUCUCUGGACAGUUCCUGACGCUGAGGCACGAAGGUCAGGGGAGCAAACGGG